UCUUCUCCCCUCAGCCGCCGCCGCCACCUCUCCCAACCCCAUCUCCAUCUCUUCCUUUCCUCCCAGGUGAGCUUCCUGUAGCUAGCAGAGAGUACACAGAGAAGAGAGUCGCCGGCGUCUACCCGCGGGCGACGUUGGGCGGCACGGCCGCCAUGUCCGGGGGCUCGCGGCGGCUCCCCGCGUCCCAUUCCCGGCGUUAGGACCCCCGAGGAGCGACCCCCCGUCGAGCUCGUCCUCGUCAACGGGGCGACCCGGGCGAACUCCUUCCCUGCUUCGGUCUACGGCGGACGAACUUCUUCGGCGUCUCCUUCCCCGGUCCGGCUUCCUCUCCGGCAGUUCGGCGCCCCCUCUCCUCCCCAAGGUGAGGCCGCGUCCUCCCCCUUCCUUCCUCCUCCGUGGAUCGGCUCAGACCUCGUCGUGGCGCGUACUUCCCGUGUUCGAUAGCAGCAGUAGACAGAGAUGCAGUAGUAUCGGGUGGUUCUGCGUAGUGUAGAGUUAUGGGGGUGCCGCGCAGAGGAGGGCUUCCUCCCCCCUCUCGGCAGCAGCGCCGUGGCCAGAGGAACCCGCCUCGCCGCCGGUAGUUGUGGCUUCCUGUCACCUCGUCCCCGGUAGAAGCAGGGCGGCAGCGUAGAGUUAGUGCGGUUCCUCCGUCAGUCUAGGGCGCCAUGCGGGCGUGCUCUAGCAGCAGCGGGGAUUCCUUCCCGCGUAGAUAGCUGUUCGUCGUGUGCAAGAGCUCGUCGCCGGCAGCGCAGCUAGCAACGUCGGCUAGGAUAGCCGUCGGGUUCCCUGUCACUGUCGUUCCCAGAAGACAAACAGGGGGCGAUUUCAGAUAUCUAUUCCUGUAUGAGAAUCCCCCUCUGUCAGAUACCUCUUCGUAGCCCAGUGGUCGAUCUCAUGCGUGCCUGAUGAGAGGUUCAGGGUUCGAUCCCCCUCUCGGCCUAUUUUUGGUUUUUUUGCUAUUCGGUGGCCAGCGAAGCAUGUUCUUUUGUUUCCUGCUUCGUUCCUGUCGACAGUAGUGCAGGUGGUGCAGUGGCUAGAUGGUGACUUGUAAACCAGGAGGUACACGGUUCGAAUCCCAGGACCCCUGACAUUUUUUUUGCUAUCUUUCUUUGCUGCCUUUUUUAUUUUUAUUUUUUUGUUCUUCCCUCCCUUGUGUUUGGGCAGCAAGAUGGCAUUAUAAUCUUUUCCUUGCUAGUGUAGUUAGGAGCAGGUUCCUUUGUGUGUGUGUUGCACACUUGCAAGAUGAUAGAGGUUGUAUUGCUAGCUUUGUAAACUUUUGUGGGUUACAUCUAGUGGUGUGAAGAACACUUGGUAGAGGUGUGUGCUUGUGAUGUGUUUUUCUUGUGAAGUGAUGUUCUUAAGGGGGUGAUAGAAGCACUAGCUAUACAUGUUUGGCCACAUCUAUUGAGCUUAAGAGGGUCUAAGUUGAUAUUGUAGUUUCUUUUGUUUGCAAGGGUGUAGUGGGGUGGAUGCCUCCCCCCUCACCACAUGUACUUGAGGUGAUGAGUUGCACUAGAUAGCUAUCUAUGUUAGCAUGUGAGGGUGUGGAUUGUUGUGGUGGUUGCAUAUUGAGGAUGACAUGAAUACUAGGAAGAUCCUAGUGAUGCUUGUGAGAGUGUGCACCAUCACAUGCCCAUAUGUGGGGGUGUGCAUACUCUCUUGUUAGCUUAGAGUUUCUUUUGUGUUGAGCUUGAUGCUAGUGCUAGUGAGGUAUUGUGUGUGUUGGUGUUGUUGAUGUGCAUGACACAAACAUGGGGUUCAAACCCCCAUGUCACUUUGUCAUUGUGCACAUGAAACUCUCCUAUGUAAUUGUCAUCUUAUAAGCAUACCUUAUGGAGUUGCAUUUUCAUUUUGUUGAAAGUUUGGGCUUUGUUUCCAUGGUAUAGAUGGAGCCCAAGGGCAUGGAUCUUGGUGUGUUAGUGGUAGGGGUUUGUGCUCAACACCGUAGUGGUGUCAAUCACCUCUUGGGGACAUUUGUGUGCAAACUAUGCCUAGACAAAGUGGGCAUGUGGCUGGAAAAUUCCAGAUUUUUGAACUCUGAAAAUUUCACAAAGUCUGGAAUGCUGGAGACAUUUUCUUCCCCUGUAGAUAAGGAUGUGCUGGUCAUUAUGUUGAGAACUGGACUUAGUUCAGUGCUAGUGUUUUGAACCUGGUAUGUUUGUGAAGCUUCCUGUCAAUUUUCAAGUUAUUUGGAUUCCAGUAGCUUGUGUUUUGAUUGCUGUCAAAAAGCUUCAGAACAGAAACAGAAACUCAGGUGCAGGAAUUUUCACUAAGUCCCUGAGAUCUGAUGGUUUUGGGAAAGUUUGUAGCCUUGUAUCUUCUAGAGUUUAAUUCCUUUUGCUGUGAUUCUUGCUGGAGCUUGUAGUGUUCUUGGUUGGAAACAGCCACAUAUAUUAUUUGUCAUAUUUGAAGACCUGUAGCUAUGUUGCAUGUUGCUCACAAACAGCUAAGAUGCAGAAACUGGCAGAUUGCGUAGUUUUGCCGUUUUGUUCAAAGUUUGUGUUUAAUUGUUGUUGGGGUGUUCUAGAUUGCUCCAUUUCAUUCAUGUUGGGUUAAUAUAUGUCUUGGCAACCUGGGAACACCAGAUUUGUGCCAAUUGUGUGUGUGGUGGUGAAUCUUUCACGUAGGGCUUCAUAUCGUGUUUCGUUGGUUCCCGUUGAUCCGUAGCUCCGUUUGCAAAGUUCUUUACAUGGUUUUGCACCGUUUUUACGAGAUGCAUCUGUUCAUAUCAUUCCCAUGCAUGUCCAAAUAGUUUAGUGCAAAGUUCUGUCCAGGAACUUGUUGUAGUUUAUCUUGCUUGUGCUAGUGUUAGAAAUAGUGGUGCAUGCUCAACUUUCAUCUCAUGCAUCAUGUGAUUGUUGCAUUUUGUGGUGCUGCUUUUCAUUGGCUGUUAUUCUUGUGUUGGGUAGCACCGGGAGCGGAGACCGAAUACGUGGAGUCAGGAGAGUACGUGCAGGACGAUCCAGAACCAUUCCAAGCUGAGGAUAUCACACGCAAGAUGACAUGACCUUGAUCCCAUCUCUAGACUUGUUAUGUUAGUUUCGAUUCCAUGUCAAAUUGCUCGCUGCCUACCACUGAAAAUAUAUUGCCUCUUCAUAUGCCAUGAGCCUGAACACCUUACUCUUUCCUAGCAAACUUGCAUGGCUAGGUAGGCUUGCUCAGCUAUAAUGUUAGCAUUGUUAGCUGCAGGUGUUUUAAACCCAUGUGAUGACAUGAGCUUGAUAUCAUUAUAUUAAUUUCGGUUAUUUAUUUAAUGUAUCUAUAUACUUGGUAAAUGACGGGAGGCCUAGCCUUUUGCCGGGUGUCUUGUUCCCUUAUUGCCGCCUUAGUUACCGGUUACCGGUGUUUGAUUCCAUAAUGAUCGCUCCUAACACGUUCGGGGUUGUUAUGGUGACCCCCUUGAUAAAUCGCGUAGUGUUAAGGCUUGUCCGGCAGGACCCAACUUUGGUACUAUUUGCUAAUCACCUAAUAAUAAACUGCAUAGGGAAUAGCUACCCCGAGGAAUUUAAUCAACAACCCGGGCCAGUGCUCCUCAUGAGUGUUGGUCCAAACCAGAGCAGCUUAUUACGCUCCCCGGGGCAACUCGGAGUUUUGGCGUGGUAACCAUCGCUCAUCCGGCAUGUCCUGAGACUGAGAUACGCGGCUCUUAUCAGGGUCGUCGACACGUCGGGAGGUCCUGCUAGUCUUGUCUUGCCUUAGCGGUAUAUCUUGCGUAUAGGAAUCUCGGUGAAGCUUUGGUUUACCCCAGAGUCGAGGUUUUCCUCUAAGGAAUCCGACGAGAUCACGAGAUUCGUGAUAGAGGAUGCCUUUGCGGCCUGUGUUCGUUUGUGAUGGACUAGUUGGAGCACCCUUGCAGGGUUUAAUCUUUCGGAAAGUCGUGCCCGCGGUUAUGUGGCAACUUGGAAUAUUUUCUUAACAUCCGGUAUUAGAGAACUUAAACAUAAACUAAUAAAAUAUGCCAACUGUGUGCGUAACCGUGACUGUCCCUUCGAAGAUCUCUCUUCGACCGGGAACACUGUGGGGUUAUGAUUGCCGUAGGUAGGUGUUCAGGACCACUUUCUGAUCAAGUAUUCCCGAUCGUUAGCGUAGACCACUUUCACUUCCUUCUCGUGCAAGUUAGCCACUUAUUCAUUCUUAGGAUGCAGCAGCCUGAAACACUUCACCCUUUCCUUACCCAAUAACAUGACUAGUUCUGGCACCAAGGUCUUAGAUUGCUGAGUCCCCGUGGCUCACGGAUUCCUCCGAAACUUCCAGCAGGUACAGGUACCCCAGAGUCAGAUGAUCCCGACGGCACCCAGCUGGCGUGGCAGUACGACGAGGAGACAGAUCGCCUUUACGUGAACUAUCCAGAGGACUGAGCCGUGGUCGUGAUCGUGGGCCUGCAGCGGGUAGCAUAGCAUUUUCCUUGUUUUGUAGUCCGUACCGGAACUACCUUGUUUGUAUCUGCG
rnacentral:lncRNA from 1 species